UACGUAGGGGGCUAGCGUUGUCCGGAAUCAUUGGGCGUAAAGCGCGUGUAGGCGGUCCGGUAAGUCCGCUGUGAAAGUCGGGGGCUCAACCCUCGAAUGCCGGUGGAUACUGUCGGGCUAGAGUGCGGUAGGGGAGACUGGAAUUCCUGGUGUAGCGGUGAAAUGCGCAGAUAUCAGGAGGAACACCGGCGGUGUAGACGGCUUGCUAGACCAUAACUGACGCUGAGGCACGAAAGCGUGGGUAGCAAACAGG
rnacentral:rRNA from 1 species